rnacentral:misc_RNA from 1 species
GAUGAAGAACGUAGUGAAAUGCGAUAAGUAAUGCGAAUUGCAGAAUUUCCGUGAGUCAUCGAAUCUUUGAACGCACAUUGCGCCCGCCAGUAUUCUGGCGAGCAUGCCUGUUCGAGCGUCAUUUCAACCAUCAAGCCCCAGGCUUGUGUUGGAGCCCUGCGGCUGCCGCAGCCUCCCAAAACCAGUGGCGGGCUCGCUAUCACACCGAGUGCAGUAGUUUACUCUUCGCUCAGGGCGUGUGGCGGGUGCUAGCCGUGAAACCCCCAACUUCUCAAGGUUGACCUCGGAUCAGGUAGGAAUACCCGCUGAACUUAAGCAUAUCAAUAAGCGGAGGA